GUCUGAGGCAAAGACUUUACAUGAUUUGUGGCAAAGACUUUACACCGUCUGAGUCAGACAUAGAUUGAAUCAUGGUUUACCUUAGAGAUUUGACUUCCUCUUCUUCAAAGUUGCGAUACCUUUUGUGUUUCGAUAGUACAAGAGAUAUAUCAUUGUAUGAGCACCAAAUCCAGGAGAGUUUCAAUUUAUCAGAAAUCAAACUUCUUAACAUAUCCAAAAUUUAUAGUUCAAGUCUUGCAGGAUAGUUCUAAGCAAUCUUCAAAAAUGAAUUUCACAUACAGAAAAGCUGAUAGAUUCACAUUCGCAUGUUCUUAUUAAAAGAAAAUAUUCGUAUCUUAGUGUAGAGAAUCCAAAAAACUACAACAUGUACAAUAAUCACAGCUAAUAGCUUUAUGGAUUUGUACGAAUAUUUCUUUGAAGUCAAUUCAAAUUAUGUCU